rnacentral:rRNA from 1 species
CCUACGGGAGGCAGCAGUGGGGAAUCUUCCGCAAUGGGGGGGGAAAGCCUGACGAAGCAACGCCGCGUGAGUGAUGAAGGCCUUCGGGUCGUAAACCUCUGUCGGGAGGGAAGAAACGCCGAGGUGCUAAUCAGCCUUUGUCGCUAAUGACGGUACCUCCAAAGGAAGCACCGGCUAACUCCGUGCCAGCAGCCGCGGUAAU